CAGCCAAGUCGUGAGGCGGAGCUAAUCCCUUAAAGCCAUUCUCAGUUCGGAUUGUAGGCUGAAACUCGCCUACAUGAAGCUGGAGUUACUAGUAAUCGCAGAUCAGAAUGCUGCGGUGAAUGCGUUCCCGGGUCUUGUGCACACCGCCCGUCACACCACGGAAGUUGGGGGCGCCCGAAGCCACUUAGCUAACCCUUUUGGGAAGCGAGUGUCGAAGGUGAAAUCAAUAACUGGGGUGAAGUCGUAACAAGGUAGC
rnacentral:rRNA from 1 species